rnacentral:sRNA from 1 species
CUUGACCUGUUCAUGCUGUACGUGCUGGUGACGGAGAAGGGCGGCCUCGUGGAGGUCAUCAACAAGAAGCUGUGGCGUGAGAUCACCAAGGGCCUCAACCUGCCCACGUCCAUCACCAGCGCAGCCUUCACCCUGCGGACCCAAUACAUGAAGUACCUGUACCCCUACGAGUGUGAGAAGCGGGGCCUCAGUAACCCCAAUGAGCUCCAGGCAGCCAUAGACAGCAACCGACGGGAGGGCCGGCGCCAGAGCUUUGGGGGCUCCCUCUUUGCCUACUCGCCAGGCGGGGCACACAGCAUGCUCUCCUCACCCAAGCUACCCGUGUCCUCCCUGGGCCUGGCCGCAAGCACCAACGGCAGCUCCAUCACCCCCGCCCCUAAGAUCAAGAAAGGUAAGGGCCUGUGUGGGGCCUGGGGCGUGUUCCCAACUGAGCUUCAGCCUGGCUGUCUGACCUUGGGGGAUACCUCUUCCCCUCUCUGGGUAACCAGGAUGAAAAACCCUAUAGUUGGCAUGGAAAAGGGCUUCCAAUCUACCAGUCGUCUGCCCAUGGCAGACAUUACCAAUCCAUCACCAUUUUCUAA